AAGAGUGAUGUUCUUGAAGCAUGUCUAACAAAUUUCUGUGUGUUAACUCUUAGGUUUUUCAUAGAUGAGAUGCGGAGGAAAAAAUGUGGUCGAAGGCAUCUGAUUUUUCUAACCCGCUGCUGCUGUCCUCAAAAGUCGUUAUGACUGACUGAAACACACCUGCUCUAUCCUCAUCAUCUGCAACAUCUUCUUCCCCAUCACCAUAGGUGUCCACGUCAUCGGCCAAAUCAACCAAGUCUUCCAUGGCGUAUGAAAUAGAGCCAGCAAUUGGGUAAUUAAUGUAAAUGGUCCAUCUUCUCGAGGUUCACAAUCCGUGGGUCCAAUCAUUGAUGCUGAACACGAAUAAAGACUUGACCAUAAAUUUUAAAGAUUCUUUUUGACU